CUCAGACCCCCUCCAGCCUGACUUUGAGUGUCUCCAGAGAUUGGGCACCCACCACCUCUCUGGGCAACCUGUGCCAUGCCUCAUCAUCCUUAGUGUAAAAAACUUCUUAUAUCCUGUCUCUAUCUCCCCUCUUAUACUUUGAAACCACUUCCCCCCAUUCCUAACACAACAGAUCCUGCUGAAGAGUUUGUAUGUACCCUUACAGCCCCCCUUAACAAGCCCCCCUUGUGAUCUGUCAUGAAGAUGAGAAGCAGAAAUAGGAAGAACUCUGUGCUCCCUGCAAAGGUUUUCUCUGCUUCCAGGUUUAGCGAUGCACCCUGACCAUUUUCCCACCUUGGGUGUGACCUGGGUGAGAACUAGGUUCACCUGCUCUCUUUAGGCCCCUGCUUUCUAAUGGGAGCUGAUGCAGAAAGGUUCAGCUUUAUGCUCCUAUUCCAGAGUACAGAUUACAAUAUCAUAGUCCAGAAUGAUGGUGAUAUAAAUAUAUUGAUAUUAACAUAUUAUCAUAGAAUCAGAUAUUGGCUUGGGCAGGAAGGGACCUCAGAGGUCAAGCAGUUCCAGCCCUUGUGCAAUGGUCAGGUUGCCAACCACUAAAUGAGGCACCACAUCAGGCAGACCAGGACUCCAUCAACCUGGCAUUAAGCACCUCCAGGGGUGAGGCAUCCACAAUUCACUGAGCAGCCUGUGCCAGGGCCUCACCACCAUCUCAGUGAAAAUUUUCCCCCAACAUCCAAUCUUAAUGUCUCCUCUUUUAGCAUAAAACCAUUCCCCCUUGUCCUAUCACUAUCAGACCAUGUAAAAAGUUGAUUUCCCUCCUGCAAUAUUGCAAAUUAUGCAAUACAGAAAAGAACAAAUGGAUAGAUGUUACAAACAUAAUUAAAAUGUGUCCACCUCUUUGUCUCACCCUUCUAGUUACUCUCAAAACUGUUGUCAAAUAAUUAUCUACCCAGUUUCUAAUCCUGCUAACUGUUGUCAUAGCAUCCGAGUGUCUCCUAAGAUUAAAAAAAAAAAAAAAAGAAAAAAACCCACAAAAUUAAUUCCAAUCUGUGCAGAUAAAAACAAAGCAUAACAUUAGAAAGAUUCUACUGCAGGAAAGCCCAGGGAAAGAUGAGCUGUUGAUGAAUGCAGAUUUUUGGUAGGGUGGUAACAUACUGUACAAAGAUCUGUGGGUGCUCAAGGCCAAGUUGGAUGGGACCAUGGGCAGCCUGAGCUGGUGGGGGCAACCAGGCCAUGGUAGGGGGUUGGGGCUGGAUGGGCUUUAAGUUCCCUUACAACUCUAGACAUUCUAUGAUUCUGUUAUUCUAUAAUACUAUUUUAUACAAGUUAUCAGGACUCUAAGUUUUCCCUGAAAGUCAAAGGGAGAGUAAGGAUGCACAUUAAGACAUCAUUUUACUAAAAAGAAACCAGAAAAAAAAAAUCCUAGACACCUAAUAAAUACCUCAUAACUGAGAUCUUAGAAUAAAAUUAAAUAAAAUAUAGUUUUUGGUCUAAAAUCCAUUUUUCCUCUUGAUACACCAGUUUGUGACUCUAUUCUAUUCAUUUAGUUGUUUUCAGUAUCUGUUGUUUACUUCCUUUAUUUUUCACUCUGAUGAAAUAUUUCAGGGCAUGAAAAAGCUAUUAAGGCAAUAGUUGGUGUACCUUCCUUCAUUUCCAGCAUUCUUGAGUAAUGUUCAUUCGUAUUUAUCACUUAAGUAUGUCAGCGUGACCGAAGUACUAGGAAAAAAGGGAGGAAAGAUGAUAAAUAACUUAGAAAAUCCUGGACAUCUGCAGAUUUCACAUCACAUGGGCUGGUGUCUAUUUACAUGUACAACGAUGAAAGAAGUCCAUUUCAUAUUUUGGAAAAAAAAUGAAACAUUCAGAACUGGACGUGACAUGUCAGCUGUGGACACAGAGGGCACAUUAAGACAAAGGUGCUGAAGAUACAGAUGCCAUCGGACUGCUAAGGAAGCCUGGAGCAGAAGGAGAAGCAAACCACAUCUGCCAGAACUGUUGGGAAAUUUCUUUCACUUUAAGGCAUGAGUUUGUAAUCACUUUUCUAUACAGUUCCCAGUGAUGAAGCGUAUUACCCUGCCUCCCUCCCAGAUUGUGUGUUAUGUCUCUUUGGACUGUGCAUCUGCACACCUCCCAGCACAACCAGUUCUGUUUGCACUGCAUAUUAAAUUAUGUGUUGGAAUUGAUUAUGUAAUGCCUGAAGCAAAGGUUUUCAGAUUGUUAUAUUAAAUUUAACAUAUAGAAUAACCUGGAACAAAAAUCUUACUUGUGACCUUCUGUAACUGUGUUUUUCCUAUUCUGAGAGGAGAAAAUGGAGCAUAGGAAGUGCUUCACACCAUCUCUCAGCAAGCUGCUCCUGCACUUAUUUGCCUUUUACCUGCUGUCUUGCUGACAAAGGAGUUUGUGAGACACAUUUAAUUCACAUGUAAUGAAAGCCUGAAUAGCUGUGGUUGCAAGGAAAUUUUUAAAAGUCUGUAAAUACCAAGUGUGGUUCCCAUCACGCAUAAAAGAAAAUAAGCUGAACUCUAUCUGGAAAAUAUCUUUCUCGCUGUGCUUGAAAAAGGAACAUCAUGUCACAGUGAUUCACUGCUACAUGCUGAUUUUGAGUGAAUGCAUUCAGAGUACAGAUGUAAAACCAUAAUAUCUAUUUACCAUAGCACUGACAAGGCGAGGGGCAGACUGUGAUGUGCAAUGCAGUGCCCCAGGAACGACUGAGGGUGUUUCUAUUCACAUACUGACUGCAUGCCUUCCACUGUACUUAGUGUGGGGCCCAGCGUGUCCCCCAGCUAUUUCAUCACUCUGCCAUUACUAAGUUCUCCCAGCCAACAAACUCGUUUUUUUCCUACUCCUUGUGAUACAAUACGAACUUUCCUUGUUUGGUUUAUGUUCCAAGAGACAAAUGAUAGGGAAAACAUUUCUGAAACUCUUUCAUUUGUCAAUGACAAAUGCAGAGAUUUAUAUGAAACACUCACAAAAUGGAAAUACUGACUCUGAUCCUCCAGUUCAGACAAAAAGUGCUACCUAGGUGCAACGUGCCAUUAUUAUUAUGAAUCAACAGUGCACGUCACAGGCAUAACAACGUAAUUUUUAUUGCUGGUAACAUUUGAAUUAAUCAUAUUUUCCAGUGAGGACUCUUCAGUUAACAAUUAAAUUCUAUGGGUGAGAUUUCAAGAACUGCCUAAGUAAAUUUGGUGCCAGCUGACAUGGAAAAUGUCUGAGAAAUGGGUGCCCAGUUUCUAAAAUGUCUUUUGAAGGAAGAUUCAUCUUGCAUUAAUUGUAAGUGGGGAGGAAACAAUUCAAUAUAGUAUCACAAGAACAUGAGAAAUAAAAUGGCACGUUGAGCAACUUUAAAGGAGUUCUGUGUCACUGAAGGACAAAUUACUGCAGAAUCUUGCUAUUUACUGGCAUUAUACUUUACUUCGCCAGGAGACAGCAAAAAUUAAAAAGACGUCUUGCAGUGUCUCACAUCCUUCCUCUUAGUUCUCCAGAGCCCUCAGUGACAAACUACAUUUAACCACAAUCCUAUCUUCAGCAUUAUUUAACAUCUGUAGAUUGUAAAGGGAAGAGAAUCAUAGAAUCGUUUGAAUAGAAAGCAACUCUUAAGGCCACCUCGUCCAACUCCCCUGCAUUAAACAGGGACACCUACAGCUCCAUCAGGUGCUCAGAGGCCCCGUCCAGC